AAGUGGAGUAGGUCGGGAUAGAGGUGUGUAUCCAAGUGUUGAUUAACCAGUUCCUAUCUUUACUUGGAAGGAUAAGUGGCUGAAAUUUGUAAUCUUAUGAAGUUACUGCAAGAAUUGAGACUAAGGUUUGAAUCCUAGUGCGUGCAGCUUAUGUUUAAAGCAGAAGGAUAUAUCAAUUAUUUUCAUUUUCGUUGUUAUUACAGCAGACAUUUAUUGGUCA